rnacentral:lncRNA from 1 species
CCAGCUCACCCCAGGGACACCUCCACCCUCUGCCCUUCAUGCAUGUACCACUGGGGAAGAAAUCUUGGCUCAGUAUUUACAACAGCAGCAGCCUGGAGUCAUGAGUUCUUCCCAUCUGCUGCUGACUCCCUGCAGGGUGGCUCCUCCUUACCCCCACCUCUUCUCAAGCUGCAGUCCACCGGGUAUGGUUCUGGAUGGUUCCCCCAAGGGAGCAGGUAUGUAGGAGGUGAAGAAAACUGAGAUUUCAAGUAUGGGAGAGUUUUUACUAUCUCCAUUCCUGGAUUAAAAGUGCUGAAAAAGUCCACAGUUAAACAUUCCUUUAUUCACCCUAUGGCUCCCAAGAAAAGCAUUCUUCCUCUGGAGUACUGGUGUACUAAGGGGACAAUACACCAAAUUUGUUGAGUUUACAAUCAAGUCUACUAAGGUUGGACUUCCUUAUCAGUUUGGCAGAGUCCCAGGGCAGAAUAAUCAUCCAUCUACAGGUCUCUGUUUCCUCUCCCU